GGGUGUGAGGACAAUCUGGCUGGACAUCUGAGGCCCCACUUAUAGUCAGAGUUGAUUUGGCUGGUCCGGCUGGCUAGGCGCCUGUCCGCUUCCUCCCUCACUGCCCCUCAUGUGCAUCCAUUCAGAAGCUGCAUGCUGGGUGAAAGAGGACAACCUUCUCGGAUACAAAAGGACUGUCCUUCAGUCAAGGGCAUACGAGUUAACUGUGUUCCCCUGCUAGAACCUCCAAACAAAUUCUCAAGGUCCAUUUGUAGGAGAACGUAGGGUAGUCAACCUUCCAAGUCUCCAGACACCUCCAAGUGAGGUGCUGAAAGUGGCAGUCAGACUUUAUUU
rnacentral:snRNA from 1 species